UCCCUUAAGAGCUAUAUUUAAUAUUGCCUUUGUUGGUAUGUCUUUUUUAAACAAUCUAUUUAUAUUCUGAAUUACAUUUUAUUUAAUCUAAGACUCUUUACUAGACUAUAAGCUUCUUGAAGGUAAAGACUGUCUUGUUCACAAAUGGAUUUUAUUUUCCAGCAUAGUGCUUGGCACAGGUGGAUCCUUAGUAAAUAUUUGUGAAGGAGGUACAUUGUGAGCUAAUGGAUGAAAUAGAAGUGUCAUCUCACAGUCCAGGAUCACACGUUAUAUGGGUAGGCUUGUGAAUGCUUCAACCAAGAGAGUAAACAGAAGUGAUGCUAUGUGACAAGGGGAAGAAACAUAGAUCCCACCUCUCAAUGAUCAAAUGCAGAGGUAAUGAGUUCUGCGGGAGCAUAAUCUUCAAAAGUGGCUCCUUUACAACAAAAUUUUUAAGGUCUCCAUGUUGAAGCAAGUGCAACCUGCUCAAGAUGGCCAAGAAGUCCCACCAACCUAGAAGAAUUCAUAUGGAGAUCCAUGUUGCUCAGGCCUAACUCCUGACGUGCUUUGGCACCAGGAGUUAAAAACUGGAAUGUGCUGCUUGCUUCUGGGGUGCUGCUGACCCACUGAAGAUGUCACUGAGAACAUUGCCACUGAGAACAACUGGUAAUUUUAGCUCUCCGCUGAAGGAAUUAAUCUACACUUAUUAGUUAUGGAGUACUGUUGAAAAAUUGUUUUAACAUUUAAUUUCUUUAGCUCUCUGUAUGUUUAUUCUUUUGAGAAACUUGGUUCAUCUUUGGUGUUUAUUGAGAGCAUCUUCUAAGAGCUCAUAUCUGGAUCAAUUCUCAUGUUUGUCUUCUACUGUAUUUUGUGUAUUUUAUAUUGAAAGCAUUGGUUUAUAUUCCUGUCUUUCUUGGUGCAGCUAUGGACUAUUCAUGGAACUUACAGGGACAGGGAUUGUAUCAGACAUUUUAAUUAUUUGAACUGAACUCUUUGUAGCCUUCAUCAUUGUCAGAGCAAGCUCUGCCCCCCCAAAAAACUCAUCAAGAUUUUCUGUGAAUGUCCUACAACAUGGCUAAGACUGGUAGUUAUCUCCAAACAAUACUUCCUGUUCUUUUAAGAGUAACAAAAAUCUUAGGUGGGCAUAAAACAAUACAGUAAAUACAUUUCUCAGAUUCUCUUGUAGCUAGAUGAGGUCUUGCAAUGAAGUUUUGGCACUGUAUUGUGAGCAAAGUGUGGACUCUCCCUCCCAGUUUGUGCUGGGAAAGAGAAGGAGAAUACUUUCUUACCUCCACGUUUUGCAUUUUACUAUUUGGAUGAGGGAUAUAGUGAUGAACUAUCUCCACCCUUGAAGACAAACACCCUCCUCUAGACAUGGUAGAAAAAACAGCUAAGAGGAUUCUGGGACCUGACAACACAGUUAUUAUAAUAGUCCUGGACUGCUCACUCCUACACCAGGUAUAAUAUGAGGGAAAAAUAAACUCCUAUCUCAUUCAGAUCACUGAAUAACCACUUUGGUGUGUGGUAUACAUUAAAAUAUUUAUUCCAUGGAGCCAGCUAGUGUUCUUAUUUGUCAUACCUUACAAAUGCUCUUGGCACAAAACAAGAAGUUUAAUAUCUAAAUAAUCACACUGGGGCACCUGGGUGGCACAGUUGGUUAAG